GGAAGUACAUGACUUUGAACUGAUUCACCUUAGGGACAUGAUUAGCUUUCCAAAAUGGGCUGCCUUCUCAGAGCAUCAACAGAGGAGUAUCAGAGAAAACAUGGAGAGUACAAGAGAGGAGACUGCAAAGGACUCAGUGCAAAACUUACAGGGAAUAUAGAAUAUAUGUGACCAAUUUAUUCCAGAGCUGACAGAUUUGGAUGAAGUGACUUGACCCCUUUUCCUGCUAUCCUUUAGAAAGCCAACUUCCUUGUGAGUCCCAUUCCAAGGCCUGGAGUCAAAUAAGCAAAGGCCACUUAGC
rnacentral:lncRNA from 1 species